AGAAAUUUAGGUUAAUUAAACCAAGGGCCUUCAAAGCCCUAAAAAAGAGUACAAUCCCUUAAUUUCUG
rnacentral:tRNA from 2 species